CACAGGGCAGAGCCAGCAUGGGAAGCCUUGUGGCCCCUGAAGCCCAGAUCCGUGGUCGAGGGUGGUAGAUGCCAGCGCCACAGCCCUGCCAUGGAUGCUUCUGGAAGCUGCACUGCCACCCACACUGCUUGCCAUGGGGCCAGAACUUCUGUCACCCGCUUCUGACUGCCAAACAGAAGGUGACGUAUCUGUGCCCUGACUGUACUGAAUCAUCUGCCGCUCAAGUGGUGAGGAAAAACGGUCUGCUCACUAACACCAGCAGGCCACAGGGUGAUCUCGCAGCUCUAAAAUGGAAUGAAGUCAAUGAUACCAGUUAAUGAUGCGCACAGCUCCGCAAUCUGCUAGCUGAAAGCUAGCUGGGAUGUGCAUCCAGGAUCCUGUGGGAGACGGUGUUGGAGCUGAGCAGCUGCUGCUAGAGAAUGGAAAUCCGUGGAGACGUGCGCCUCAGGAAACCAAGGCUUUAAACUCCUCGCCAGCCAGCCCACUGCUCCUCCUUCACGUCCAACACCCUCCUCCAGUUAUUUUGGCUACCAGCAGCUAAGACGGAAUAAUAGAAAAAGAGAGCCGAUUUUCACAAAGGGAAAGCAACCACAGAUAUAUUGUCUGACUUCCAACCACGAUGGGCUCCAGGAGUGAGGCUGUUCCAUCUCAACCACGGUCAAUGAGUUCUGGGAGACCAAAGACAUUCAGGCAUGUGUGGGACUCCCAGCAUGUCUGAGGAAAAAUGAACUGCUUGAAUUAAAAAUAUUUAAAAAUUUACCAUCAUACUAGAAACUUAGAGCAUAUAACUCUUCAUUGGAGGUGUAACACACAGUGUUGAUGAUUCUUUUUGAAAGAGAAAAUAAAUAACAAUACAUAAAUGUAAA